rnacentral:rRNA from 1 species
UACGUAGGGUGCAGGCGUUACUCGGAAUUACUGGGCGUAAAGCGUGCGCAGGCGGUUUGCUAAGACAGGUGUGAAAUCCCUGGGCUUAACCUGGGAACUGCGCUUGUAACUGGCAAGCUAGAGUGUGGCAGAGGGGGGUGGAAUUCCACGUGUAGCAGUGAAAUGCGUAGAGAUGUGGAGGAACACCGAUGGCGAAGGCAGCCCCCUGGGCUAACACUGACGCUCAUGCACGAAAGCGUGGGGAGCAAACAGG